rnacentral:misc_RNA from 1 species
AAAUUAUUAUCUACAAUAUUUUUUCAGUGAAGUGUACUACGGUGUAAACAAUGGUUGUAACAGGAGAUUCGUUGAAGAAUAUUGCAGAUGAAGUUAUUCGGCUAAAAGAAGAAGGCAACAAAUCAUUUAAGGAAAGUAACUGGAAGGAAGCUGUAAGUCUUUAUUCUAAAGCAAUAAAUCAACUUAUUGGUGAUUCACCAGACAAGGCGGUUUUGUACAAGAAUCGAGCAGCUGCUUAUUUAAAAUUAAAUGAGUUAGAUAAAGCCAUUAAAGAUUGUGAUUCUUCUUUGGAAAUUACUCCCAAUGACCCAAAAGCAUUAUUCAGAAGAUGUCAAGCACUAGAUUCUUUAAACAGGCAUGAAGAGGCUUACAGAGAUGCUAGACACCUGAAUAUUAUAGAUCCGAAUAACAAGGCAAUCCAACCAAUACUAUCUAGACUACAUGAGAUUGUGCAAGAAAAUCAAAAGAAAAAUGCUCAGGUUGAAAAUAAAGUUUCCCAAAUGUUUAAGUACGCAUUCAACAUCGAAGAAUCGAAAGAUAAGAGACAAACUGCUAUGAAUAAUUUGUUGGUGCUAGCUAAAGAGAAGUCUGGUGCAUUUGCUCUACAAGAAGCAGGAAUCUAUCAAAGGAUUGGAAGCUUAUUAAAAUAUGAAACCAAUGAUGAAAUUUUUAUUGCUUCCAUUAGAACUAUUGGGGAGCUUUGUAAGGGUAGUGCUGAUAUGGCAAAAAAUUGUUUGAGAGAAUUGGGAAUACCAUGGUUUUUGGAAAUUUUAAAUUCUAAGAAAGAAGAACAAGUCAACUCGGCCCAGUACUGUUUACAAGUUAUAUUGAAUAGUCUGAGUGGAUUAGGAAUUAAAGCUGAAUCAAGACCUGAUGAAAAGCUUUGCGAAGAAAACAAGAAGGAAAUUGAAACGCUGUUAACCUGUUUAGUGUACAGUUGUACUAGUAGAACUAUCACAGGUUUGGCUAGAGAUGCUAUUGUGCAGCUGAUAAUGCGAAAUGUUCAUUACAAGGCUAUAAACUGGGCUGAGCAACUAAUUGAGAUUAGAGGCUUACAGAGACUGAUGGAAGUUGCAAGUGAAUUGAAAGAAUACAAAUAUGAAUCCGCAAUGGACAUCACUGACAAUACAAGAACAAUUACAUCAGUUUGUUUAGCACGUAUUUAUGAAAACAUGUACUACGAUAAAGCCAGAGAACGUUAUUUAGCUGCGAUUGAUGACUUCAUAAAAGGUAAACUUAUCACACCCGAGAUAGAGUCUAAAGUUCGUGUGAUUGUAGCUUUGACAUCAUUGCUCCUGGGACCUUUGGAUGUUGGCAAUACAAUUGUAGCAAGAGAUGGAAUGAUGGAGAUGAUACUGGUUAUGGCUGGGACUGAAGAUAAAUUGCAGCAGAAGGUUGCAUGCGAGUGUAUCAUUGCUGCCGCAUCAAAAAAGGACAAGAUUAAGUCGAUUAUUGCUCAAGGUGUGAAUAUACUAAAAGAGUUGUAUAAAUCAAAAGAUGACGGUAUCAGAGUAAGAGCUCUGGUGGGUCUGUGUAAGUUGGGUAGUAGUGGUGGCACUGAUGCUUCUAUCAGACCUUUUGCUGAUGGAGCAACAAAAAAGUUGGCCGAUGCUUGUAGGAGAUUUCUAGUGAACGCUGCCAAGGAUGCAGAUAUGCGGCGCUGGGCUGCUGAAGGGUUGUCCUACCUCACAUUGGAUGCUGAAGUGAAGGAGAAAUUGAUUGAAGACAGACCAUCACUGAGAGCUUUAUUCGAAUUAUCGAAAACGGGCAACCAAGCUGCUGUAUAUGGUGUUGUCACAACGUUUGUCAAUCUCACCAACUCAUAUGACAAACAAGAAAUUAUACCUGAAAUGGUCGAAUUGGCCAAGUUCGCUAAACAUCAUAUACCAGAAGAUCAUGAACUGGAUGACCCAGAUUUCGUUCAGAAGCGAUGUAAUAUUCUCUGUAAUGAGGGCAUCACUAGUGCGCUGGUUGCUUUGGCAAAGUUAACUGAAAGUCAGAAUAGUAAGGAGCUGAUUUGCAGAAUAUUCAAUGCCAUCUGUGCCCAGCAGGAACUGAGAGGGAUGGUUGUACAACAAGGUGGAGCCAAAUCUCUUCUACCAAUGGCGCUAGAAGGAACCGACAAAGGCAAAAAGCAAGCUGCCCAAGCGCUGGCUAGAAUCGGGAUCACAAUCAACCCAGAAGUCGCUUUUCCCGGACAACGCUACAUUGAAGUUAUCAGACCCUUGAUGAAUCUUCUCCAUCCAGAUUGCACCGCUCUAGAAAACUUUGAAGCACUCAUGGCUCUGUGUAACUUGGCUGGCGUCAAUGAAACAGCUAGGCAAAGAAUUAUCAAGGAAGGUGGUGUACAGAAGAUUGAGAGUUACAUGUAUGAAGAGCACCUGAUGCUUAGAAGAGCAGCCACUCAAGUGAUGACUAAUCUCAUUAUUUCUCCUCACGUUAUUGAAAAGUUUGAAGGCAAAAAUGACAAAACUAAAUUCUUAUUCCUUUUAUGUUGUGAGGAAGAUGAAGAUACAGCUAAAGCCGCGGCAGGAGCUCUUGCUAUGUUAACUUCUGCCAGCAAGAUAUGCUGCGAAAAAAUUCUAGAAGUUGGUUCUUGGGUGGAGAACUUCCAGGAACUAUUAGCAAAUCCUGAUGUGGACAUGCAGCAUCGUGGAAUCGUAGUUAUCUUGAACGCGUUGAAAAGUAGUAAAGAAGUUGCUGAGAAGAUUAUAGCAACCAGUAUUUUCGACCUGCUGAUGGCGUUGACGAUGAUUGAUGAAGCUGGAAAAGAAAAAAUAAAGGAAUUGGCAGGAGAAGCUUUGAAAGUUGCAGAAGAAUGGAAGGUUAUACAGAAACCGGGUGAAGCCCCCCCUCUAGAACCUGCUGAAGAAGUUGAUGAAGAAUAAAAUUAACAAUAAAAGAGAGCACACUUGAGGAUGAUGAAUUGGCCGGAACUUAUAUGAAAGCAAAUCUACUAUCUACACAACCUCUUCCUAAAACAUUCAAAGACAUUCUUACAAACUAUUAUCAUGCAAAUUUAACAGAGAACACCAAUACUAAUACAUCAACAGGUCAAGUGUUGGAACUACUGAGCGAUUCAGGUGUGAUGAGUCAUUGGAAGGAUUACCAUAAAUUGGCAGUGUACACUUACUUAUCGCACCAGCCGGCCUCUCCCUUCCAAGCAUCGAGGGGUCGCUCCAUCGAAGUGCCCAUGAUUCCUCAGGUGGGCGUGUUGCGAGCUGGAGAGUUCCCCCGUCUCAAUGCGCACGGCGUUGAACUGUUAAUGGAGGCCGAUCAUGCGAGUCUGCUUCUGAUGAUGCCUGACUCAGUGGACGGUCUGGAUGAGCUGCUGGUGAAGCUGCCCAAAGAGAAGCUGAAUCAGCUGAUCAAGUCGCUGCCGUUCAAAGAGACAGAGGUGGCUCUGCCCCAGCUGGCCAUUGUCACCAGUGACCUUGACCUAGUUCCGUUCUUCCGCCAGCUGGGUGUCAAGGCCGCCUUUUCGGGAGAUCGCAAGAGGACUCACGUCACAACCAUCAAACAGAACGCCUACUUCUCCACGUCUUUCGUCGCUGUCAACUCUGUUGGAUCUGUCGGCAGUGUUCUAG